rnacentral:rRNA from 1 species
UCGGGAAUAUUGCGCAAUGGAGGAAACUCUGACGCAGUGACGCCGCGUAUAGGAAGAAGGUUUUCGGAUUGUAAACUAUUGUCGUUAGAGAAGAGAAAGGACAGUACCUAAGGAGGAAGCUCCGGCUAACUACGUGCCG